rnacentral:rRNA from 1 species
GACGAACGCUGGCGGCGUGCUUAACACAUGCAAGUCGAACGGAUCUUCUCUGGACAGUAAUGUUUGGGGUUGGUUAGUGGCGAACGGGUGAGUAACACGUGAGAAACCUGCCCUGAAGACGGGGAUAACUGACCGAAAGGUCUGCUAAUACCCGAUGUCCUCAUGUGAUCGCAUGGGUGUGUGAGGAAAUGGAUUCCGCUUUAGGAGGGUCUCGCGGGCUAUCAGCUUGUUGGUGAGGUAAUGGCUCACCAAGGCGACGACGGCUAGCUGGUCUGAGAGGACGACCAGCCACACUGGGACUGAGACACGGCCCAGACUCCUACGGGAGGCAGCAGUGGGGAAUCUUGCGCAAUGGGCGGAAGCCUGACGCAGCAACGCCGCGUGUGGGAUGACGGCUUUCGGGUUGUAAACCACUUUCAGCAGGAACGAAAUUGACGGUACCUGCAGAAGAAGCACCGGCCAACUACGUGCCAGCAGCCGCAGUAAGAC